rnacentral:rRNA from 1 species
AUUGAACGCUGGCGGCAGGCCUAACACAUGCAAGUCGAGCGGAUGAAGGGAGCUUGCUCCUGGAUUCAGCGGCGGACGGGUGAGUAAUGCCUAGGAAUCUGCCUGGUAGUGGGGGAUAACGUCCGGAAACGGGCGCUAAUACCGCAUACGUCCUGAGGGAGAAAGUGGGGGAUCUUCGGACCUCACGCUAUCAGAUGAGCCUAGGUCGGAUUAGCUAGUUGGUGGGGUAAAGGCCUACCAAGGCGACGAUCCGUAACUGGUCUGAGAGGAUGAUCAGUCACACUGGAACUGAGACACGGUCCAGACUCCUACGGGAGGCAGCAGUGGGGAAUAUUGGACAAUGGGCGAAAGCCUGAUCCAGCCAUGCCGCGUGUGUGAAGAAGGUCUUCGGAUUGUAAAGCACUUUAAGUUGGGAGGAAGGGCAGUAAGUUGAUACCUUGCUGUUUUGGCGUUACCAACAGAAUAAGCACCGGCUAACUUCGUG